GUACUUUAACUAACUACACUCAAGAAAACUGUUGAAGAACGAAAACAUGGAGGAUGCAAACAAAUCAGAAGAUGAAUAUUUCGAUACAAAAUCAAACAUAAGUAUCGAAUCUGAGGAAACGGGGAAAAACAAGGAAGAAAGUGAUGAGGAGGAAUUUUUUGAUGCAUUGGGAACCCAGGAAGAGGAGCUACCUGUCAAAAAAACUGAAAACGAAACUGCUCCAAGCGAGAUGAAUGACACAGCAUAUCUGGAUUCAGAUUUUGGCCAAUUACCUCCAAAGUCGAUCAUUAAAAUCAGUCUCCUCUUUGCGAAGCCUGUUUGCCCUCAGAAAAGAAUUCAAUCCAAGUAUUUUGUCAACAAUACAAAAACUGAGUCAUAGUGAGACAUGCCAUCCUGCCUCUUCAGUUAAAAUGAAGACAUUUCUGGACGGAAGUAAACAUCCUCUCAACCAUCAUUUUGUUAUCAUACUAAGUAAUUCCGUUAAAUGCUUUGACAAUCCUGAUCUCACCAGCUUUUUAACACCUGUGUGCCACUACUUCUAACAAUAUUUGUAAUUCUACGGUUAGUCCUGAAACUGUCCUCAAGAAUUGUCAUUAAAAUAUAAGAGGCUCAUUGAACCUUUGUACUUUGUGCUUAUUCUAUUACUUAUUCUAUAUACCUUAUAGAGUUUUAAAACUCUUAAGUAGAAGCAAGCAUUUAGUGUAGUGAUUAGGGUGAUGCUUGGAUUCCUGCAUCUCUUAUUAUAGUGAAUGAGUUCAAGUCCUGGUUCUACUUCCAAUUCUAGCUUCCAACUAGUGCCUACGCUGAGAUGCAGCAGGUGACGAUUCAAGUACUUGGGUUUCUCCCAUCCAUGUGGAUUGAGUUCUGGGUUCCUGAGACCCAACUGUUUCUAGCAUUUGUGGAGAGAACCAGCAAAUAGAAAAACCUUUCUCUCUCUGUCAAUCUCACUUUACCUCACUUUACUUCUGCCUUCCAAAUGGAUAAAUAAAUAAAAAAUAAAACUAUACCA
rnacentral:lncRNA from 1 species